AUUGAACGCUGGCGGCAGGCUUAACACAUGCAAGUCGAGCGGGGUGAUGGUGCUUGCACUAUCACUUAGCGGCGGACGGGUGAGUAAUGCUUAGGAAUCUGCCUAUUAGUGGGGGACAACAUCUCGAAAGGGAUGCUAAUACCGCAUACGUCCUACGGGAGAAAGCAGGGGAUCACUUGUGACCUUGCGCUAAUAGAUGAGCCUAAGUCGGAUUAGCUAGUUGGUGGGGUAAAGGCCUACCAAGGCGACGAUCUGUAGCGGGUCUGAGAGGAUGAUCCGCCAAGCUGGGACUGAGACACGGCCCAGACUCCUGCGGGAGGCAGCAGUGGGGAAUAUUGGACAAUGGGGGGAACCCUGAUCCAGCCAUGCCGCGUGUGUGAAGAAGGCCUUAUGGUUGUAAAGCACUUUAAGCGAGGAGGAGGCUCUUUUGGUUAAUACCCAAGAUGAGUGGACGUUACUCGCAGAAUAAGCACCGGCUAACUCUGUGCCAGCCGCCGCGGUAA
rnacentral:rRNA from 1 species